UACGUAGGGUGCGAGCGUUGUCCGGAAUUAUUGGGCGUAAAGAGCUUGUAGGCGGCCUGUCGCGUCUGCUGUGAAAAUCCGGGGCUCAACCCCGGACUUGCAGUGGGUACGGGCAGACUAGAGUGUGGUAGGGGAGACUGGAAUUCCUGGUGUAGCGGUGAAAUGCGCAGGAUAAUCAGGAGGAACACCGAUGGCGAAGGCAGGUCUCUGGGCCACUACUGACGCUGAGAAGCGAAAGCAUGGGAGCGAACAGG
rnacentral:rRNA from 1 species